rnacentral:lncRNA from 1 species
CAGCCAUGAAGGCGUCGCUGCUGUUCCUGCUCGCCUGCACGGCCGUCCUGGCGCUGGGAGCAAGGGCCGACUCGCCCGAGGAGCCGAAGGAGCUGGUGCAGAAGGUGCAGGAGCUGGCCCAGAAAGCCACGGCCAUGGCCAAGGACGCCUUCAGCAGGGUGCGGGAGUCGGAGGCGGCAAAGCAGGCCAGGCAGUGGCUGUCGGACAACGCGGAGCUGGCGAAGCAGCGGCUGGUGUGGCUGAAGGAGCAGCUGGCCGAGCUCUUGAAGAAGACUCCGGCCGCGUAGCCUCGCCGGGGGCUGCCUGGGGUCUGUCGGGGCCGGGGACCCCCCGGCUCCCACCCGCUGUCGUGGUGCUCUCAAUAAAGCGGGGCUGAGG